rnacentral:rRNA from 1 species
AUUGAACGCUGGCGGCAGGCUUAACACAUGCAAGUCGAGCGGGCGAGGUUGCUUCGGUAACUGAGCUAGCGGCGGACGGGUGAGUAAUGCUUAGGAAUCUGCCUAUUAGUGGGGGACAACAUUCCGAAAGGGGUGCUAAUACCGCAUACGUCCUACGGGAGAAAGCAGGGGCUCUUUAUGACCUUGCGCUAAUAGAUGAGCCUAAGUCGGGUUAGCUAGUUGGUGGGGUAAAGGCCUACCAAGGCGACGAUCUGUAGCGGGUCUGAGAGGAUGAUACGCCACACUGGGACUGAGACACGGCCCAGACUCCUACGGAGGCAGCAGUGGGGAAUAUUGGACCAUGGGGGGAACCCUGAUCCAGCCAUGCCGCGUGUGUGAAGAAGGCCUUUUGGUUGUAAAGCACUUUAAGUGGGGAGGAGGCUUACCUGGUUAAUACCUGGGCUAAGUGGACGUUACCCACAGAAUAAGCACCGGCUAACUCUGUGCCAGCCGCCGCGGUAA